rnacentral:tRNA from 1 species
UCCUUUGUGGUGUAACGGUAACACACUCGGCGCAUAUUCGAGAGGUCCAGGUUCGAGUCCCGGAGGAG